GAGAGAGAGAUAAUCUACGCAUCCUCCAUUCCACAUGCGACGUUUCAAUAUUUUGCUUCGGAAUUUCCAAUAAAUCAUCUGUUUCAGACCCUGCUACGUCGCCAGUCUACCUUGCUAAGUUAAUAUAUCCAAUUUUGAAACGUAAACAUAAACACAACAUUAUUACAGUAGAAAGUUAAGAGAGAGAGAGGGAGACAGAGAGAGUGUGUGUGGGGGGGGCACUCAGGUACGCGAUAUCAGAGACAAGCCACUUUCUGUGAGAACCCCAUUGUACGAUUCACCCACGAGAGCAGCCCCCCAAUUCAAUCAUGCCAUCCGGUCCCAAGAAGAGAAAGGCUGCAAAGAAAAAGAAAGAUAAGGAAAUCCAUAACCCCUCAACCAAAAACCCUCAAGGAAAUGACGAUAUGAAAUCUCAAGAUGGGAAGGAAAGUGAUGAUGGUGAGGUUAGUAGCCCUGUAUCUCGGGACCAGGAUAGCGAUCAGAAUCCAUUUAAUGAGGGGAGUGAAGAAUUGGGGGAGAGAGAUUCAUCAUCCAUUCGACCAUAUGUUGCUGAGGAAAGGACUAUGUUGGGAGUCCAUAGUGAUGUAGAGGGUGCCCAGAAAAUAGGCUUAGAGGAUGAUGGUGUCGUUGUAAUCGAAAGGGAACUGAAAUCUGAGGAGAAUUCUGAGAGCAAAAAUGUUAGCAUAGAGCAUGUUGAGUUUGCCAAGGAAUCACAUGAUGGGGAUGAGCGUAGCUUUAGCAGUAGUAGUCCAGAUGAUAAGCCCCAAAUCACUGAGGAGAAACCAAACGAGGUGGCUUACAAUUCAGUUUUGGAAGCACGAUCAUAUGAUGAUUUGGAUAAGCCGGUUGACUCAUCCCAGGUGGAAGUGAUUUGGGUUGCUGAUGAUGGACUGGCUGGGGAGACUUUUAAUUCAAUUCCAGAAAGUGCUACUCUUGUUGAUUCUCUACAGUCAGUGGUACCUGUGUCCCAAGAGACAAUUGAAAUGGCCCCAAGUGCUCCAGUUGAGAAUCCAGUGAUUAUGAAUGUGGUUGAAGUAAGCGAGGAAUCAAGGGAGGGUCCAGCAGCUGUGACGGAUUUUUCAUUGAAGAAAAGUGAGGAAGUAUUUCCUUUAUCUUAUGAAAAUGUACAGGCAUCUUCAAACAUGGUGGAAUCUGUUUCAAAUGGAUAUGAGAGUAAAAUAUUGCCAUCAUCAAGUGCUCCUGUUGCUGCAACUAGUAAUGAUGCAGCACAUGUCAAAGAUUCUGUGAUUCCUGAAUGUUCUGAAAGCCAGCCUAUAGAAGCGCCAGCCCCAAAAGUGGUGCAAAGAACCUCCUGGUUGUGUUGCUGUGGAUUAUUUGAGGUGCUAGCAGGCUUUGGGAGAUAAGUUCAGAAACCCAAAUAAACGGCUUCAAGGACAGCCACAUUAUGAAGUAAAAGAAGUGUUGGGUGUUCAAGAACAAGCAUUUCUGCUUUUUGGAUUUCAUUGUUAAUGGAUAUAUUCCCGAGGAGAUUGAGGUUACUAUUCAGUUGGGAUGCUAGGGUAAUGAAGUCAAACAGAGGUAAAUAGAUUAAAAAUUGGUAUACUCUUGUGUAAUACUGAAUUGAGAUGAUAAUUUGAGCCGAAUUUGUUUAAUAUGAAGUUUCUACGAAGACAUGGGAAGGACAGAAAAGACUUGAGAAUUCUGAUAAAGGAUGGAAGGAAAGAAAAAAAUUUGAGAUGCCGUGGUGAUCAGGCAAUGGCUAAACCUUUUAAGUUGAAUUGAAGCCUCUGAAAGGAUGGACAAGAAACAGAGCAUGUAUGGGCCAUGGUUUCCUUUUGAUGCAGACACGGCAUGCAUGGGCUUCAGUGAACUGGUGAAUCUUGUGAAACUUAAGAAGGAUUUUGUCUAGAGAAUUUUUUUUUAUUUCCUACUGGAAUUUCUUGGUUUUUCCCAAUAAAUACCAGGCAAGAAGCUUGAUCAGAUAAACAGCUUGAGGUUUGUGGUGAUAGUAUCAAUAUUUGUUGGCGGCUUAGUGUCCCUAGCUUUCAGUACAUGUCUUGUUAAUUUUGUAGUUUUUUUUUUUAAAUAUUCUAAAUGGUGUGUAGUACCUAGUUGCUUUGCAUUGGUAUGGUGGUGGUGCGAUGUGGAUUUGCAAAUUCUUCUAUGAUAUUAAUAUUCCCUUGAUUGCUUUCA